rnacentral:rRNA from 1 species
UACGAAGGGGGCUAGCGUUGCUCGGAAUCACUGGGCGUAAAGCGCACGUAGGCGGCUUUUUAAGUCAGAGGUGAAAUCCUGGAGCUCAACUCCAGAACUGCCUUUGAUACUGGAGAGCUUGAGUCCGGGAGAGGUGAGUGGAACUGCGAGUGUAGAGGUGAAAUUCGUAGAUAUUCGCAAGAACACCAGUGGCGAAGGCGGCCUUCUGGACCAAUACUGACGCUCAUGCACGAAAGCGUGGGGAGCAAACAGG